CCUACGGGCGGCAGCAGUGAGGAAUAUUGGUCAAUGGACGAGAGUCUGAACCAGCCAAGUAGCGUGAAGGAUGACUGCCCUAUGGGUUGUAAACUUCUUUUAUAUGGGAAUAAAACGUUCCACGUGUGGGAUUUUGUAUGUACCAUAUGAAUAAGGAUCGGCUAACUCCGUGCCAGCAGCCGCGGUAAUACGGAGGAUCCGAGCGUUAUACGGAUUUAUUGGGUUUAAAGGGAGCGUAGGUGGAUUGUUAAGUCAGUUGUGAAAGUUUGCGGCUCAACCGUAAAAUUGCAGUUGAAACUGGCAGUCUUGAGUACAGUAGAGGUGGGCGGAAUUCGUGGUGUAGCGGUGAAAUGCUUAGAUAUCACGAAGAACUCCGAUUGCGAAGGCAGUUCACUGGACUGCAACUGACACUGAGGCUCGAAAGUGUGGGUAUCAAACAGGAUUAGAUACCCUGGUAGUC
rnacentral:rRNA from 1 species